UACGUAGGGUGCGAGCGUUAAUCGGAAUUACUGGGCGUAAAGCGUGCGCAGGCGGUUCGCUGUGUCCGAUGUGAAAGCCCCGGGCUUAACCUGGGAAUGGCGGUUGAAACUAGUCGACUCGAAUCUGGCAGAGGGGGGUGGAAUUCCACGUGUAGCAGUGAAAUGCGUAGAGAUGUGGAGGAACACCGAUGGCGAAGGCAGCCCCCUGGGCUGAGAUUGACGCUCAGGCACGAAAGCGUGGGGAGCAAACAGG
rnacentral:rRNA from 1 species